UACAGAGGUCCCAAGCGUUGUUCGGAUUCACUGGGCGUAAAGGGUGCGUAGGUGGGUCUGUAAGUCAGUGGUGAAAUCUCCAAGCUUAACUUGGAAACUGCCGUUGAUACUAUAGAUCUUGAAUGCUGUGGAGGUGAGCGGAAUAUGUCAUGUAGCGGUGAAAUGCUUAGAUAUGACAUAGAACACCAAUUGCGAAGGCAGCUCACUACCCAGAUAUUGACACUGAGGCACGAAAGCGUGGGGAUCAAACAGG
rnacentral:rRNA from 1 species